AGAGUUUGAUCCUGGCUCAGGAUGAACGCUAGCUACAGGCUUAACACAUGCAAGUCGAGGGGCAGCAUGGUCUUAGCUUGCUAAGGCCGAUGGCGACCGGCGCACGGGUGAGUAACACGUAUCCAACCUGCCGUCUACUCUUGGACAGCCUUCUGAAAGGAAGAUUAAUACAAGAUGGCAUCAUGAGUCCGCAUGUUCACAUGAUUAAAGGUAUUCCGGUAGACGAUGGGGAUGCGUUCCAUUAGAUAGUAGGCGGGGUAACGGCCCACCUAGUCUUCGAUGGAUAGGGGUUCUGAGAGGAAGGUCCCCCACAUUGGAACUGAGACACGGUCCAAACUCCUACGGGAGGCAGCAGUGAGGAAUAUUGGUCAAUGGGCGAGAGCCUGAACCAGCCAAGUAGCGUGAAGGAUGACUGCCCUAUGGGUUGUAAACUUCCUUUAUAAAGGAAUAAAGUCGGGUAUGCAUACCCGUUUGCAUGUACUUUAUGAAUAAGGAUCGGCUAACUCCGUGCCAGCAGCCGCGGUAAUACGGAGGAUCCGAGCGUUAUCCGGAUUUAUUGGGUUUAAAGGGAGCGUAGGUGGACUGGUAAGUCAGUUGUGAAAGUUUGCGGCUCAACCGUAAAAUUGCAGUUGAUACUGUCAGUCUUGGGUACAGUAGAGGUGGGCGGAAUUCGUGGUGUAGCGGUGAAAUGCUUAGAUAUCACGAAGAACUCCGAUUGCGAAGGCAGCCUGCUAAGCUGCAACUGACAUUGAGGCUCGAAAGUGUGGGUAUCAAACAGGAUUAGAUACCCUGGUAGUCCACACGGUAAA
rnacentral:rRNA from 1 species